CAAACGACAUUUUAAUUUUAUGCAUAAAAUUAGUAAUUCUUAUUUUUUAACAUACUUACUAGGACUCAUAGAGGUACAUAAGGAUAUCCCCCUACUCGUGAACUCAGUGUCUAGAUUUGACAAUUGAUUCGGUUGUCCCCAUAUUCCGUCCGGUAUGGGAGCGAACCAUAUCUCCCAAACUCUUUCAGUAUGGGAUUUCUCAGCCCCGUCCAACUAAGGUAAUAUCUACGGUAUGGUUCUUUAUGUACCAGAUCCGUCCACCCUUUCCCAGGGUACCUAGUAAGU
rnacentral:lncRNA from 1 species